CCCAAAGUUCCGAGAUUACAGGUGUGAGCCACCACACCUGGCCUAUGUACAUAUUUAAAAAACACUAGCAUGGUCUCUGUGCUUGUGGAAAACAGUCUUGUUGGAGAGAUAAUUUUAAUCAAAUAAUUAUACAAAAUUAUCUAACAGUUACAAAUUAUAGUGAAGGAAAAGAAUCCCAUAUUAUGAAAGAGACUAGCUGGAGGCUAAUGGGGGGGGCGGUAGGUAAACAUUCAAGUGCUCUUACAGAGAUCCCCAAGUAACACUGGCUUAAAUAAGGUAGAUGUUCCAUUCUUGCUGAUCUAUCAGUGCAGGUGUAAGCGGUCUAGGGUGCAUAUGGAAGCCUCACCAUUUUGGGGCUCUUCUGGCAUGCUGCUCUGCUGUUCCCUGGGGGCUGCACUCAUCUGCAUGGUCCACAGUGGCUCUCCACCAUGCCUACAGUCCAAGCCUGAGAAGAGGGAGGGAAACAGUACAAAACUCGGCACUCCUGCUCAUAUUCAGCACUUUGUCACACCAGGGCUGGGACAGGCCUGGACUGCAAGGAGGGGUCUUUGCACCAUCUCUGAAAAGCCUAUGUGUAUCCUCAGCUUUGAGAACUGAAUUCCAUGGGUUGUGUCAGUGUCAGACCUGUGAAAUUCAGUUCUUCAGCUGGGAUAUCUCUGUCGUCGUGGGCUUGAGGACACUGGAGAGAGUAGAUCAUGGAGAACUUCAGUCUGCUGAGGAGCUUGGAAGACUGGAGACAGAAGGCAGAGUCUCAGGCUCUGAAGGAAUAAGGAGUGUGGGUUCCUGUGAGAAACACUCAUUUGAUUGUGAAAAGACUUGAGUUCUAUGCUAAGCAGGGUUCCAAGUAGCUAAAUGAAUGAUCUCAGCAAGUCUUUCUUGCUGCUGCUGCUGCUGCUGCUACUCGUUUACAUUUAUUGAUUACUUAACGAUGAUUCAGGUACUGUCGUAAGUGCUUUACAUGCUGUUAUAGGAGACUCUUGGGAGAAAUCUCUUUAAUGAAGCUUGAGACACAUGGCAUUGCCAUGCAAUGAUUUUUUUCCCCCUCUUCACGGAAUCAGAGGGAAUAACAGAAUGUGACAAUGAUUCUUUAGCAUGGACUGCUGAGGCUUCUGGUUCCUUUUUAAGAUCUGUGGUGAAAGAAGAUGAGAAACAUGGGUAUGCCCUUCUUUUCGUCCCCUUCUUCCUUUAUUUGAAUCUUUACUUCCUUCUAUAAAUAUAUUAGGGCUACAUUGUCCCCUUGUAUUUCAAACAAGGCAAAAAGAGGUUGUAAUUAGACUUUACUGCAAUCCUCAGUUUCUCCACGGAACAGGAAUGCAAAGGUUUUGAAGGCCUCUCUAUUUGCUGACAUGGUCAGCUGGGUGCCGUGGGCCAAGUCCUUCUGUUGCCCUCCUCUGUCACCAAGUAAGCUAGGUCCAUUCUGAGGCUCAGGUUUGCUGUGAUGAUGACCACUUUUAGGCAGAAAGUUAGAGGUCUCACGAGUGCUAUAUAGACUUUAUCAGGCUUUAGAUUUGAUGGGGAAUAAGGAAUGUGACUUGUCUUUUGGGAACUGAUUUUUGAUUCAUCAUUGUCUCUUGGUGUCCUGGAAUUUCCAUGUUAUUACAGUCUACUGAACGAAAGAGUAACCUGUGCCAGAGGAGAGGCGAGUGAAAGACUCCACAGCAUGCUCAUUCUCAGUCUGUCUUCUCAGUGCCACCGAGGUUUACUGAGUACCCACUAUGUGCUGAGCACUGUGCUCAGGGCUUUGUAUGCAUGAUCUCAGUGAAUCUCACCAAGCCUCAUCUGGAAAAUGGGGACAAAUUAACAACAGGAUGGCAAAUUAAAAAACACGUAACCACGUUCUACAGAUGCAAAGGGGUGCUUGGUUAUUAUGAAGGCCCCCCGGCAAGUGUGUGGGACAUGGGUGCGUUCUCUGGGUUGUACUGAUCAGAUCAAGGACCUCCCCCACCCUUCUCACAUUCUGCCCACUUCCGCCCUUUGCUUAUCAGACCCUUAGCCAGUGACUCAUUCUAGAACCAGAACCUUGGUGAAAUCUCAACUGAGACCAGAGAUCGGUGUCUUCAGUCCUAGACUGAUGGAGAAAAUCCAGAAUGUAUACUAGAAGUUCCAAGUGCUCUGGGUUUCACCUCGUCUGUGCUGUAGACACUGACUUUGGCUCAGAACUCCGAUUUAGUACAAAAGGCUCAUUUUAAUUUCAGGGGCACUAUUCCUGAAGCAAACCUAAUAAAUGAAAUAUGGAAUUCGCAGAUACACACACACAUUAAAAAAUUAACCUGGUGUAUCUGUGAAGAGUAGGCAGAAAUUCACUGUAUAAAAGAAUGCUUCAUUUUAUAAAGAGUUUGUGUUAAGAUUCCAUUAGAUAGUACAUUUCUCAAAGAUUUUUGAGGUUGUAUUUGCUUUAUCAAAACUUGGUUUAUGUAAGUGGAAAAAGCAUGUUGCAAAAUCACUUGGUGUCUAUGAUUCAGUUUAUGUAAAAUAAUAAAUGUAUGUAGGAAUACUUGUGUUGAACGAUGUACAUUGAUUUGUUGACAAUGAUUAUCUCUGAGAUGGUGGGAUUUGAGAUGUGUUUUUCUUUUUUUUUGUAUUUUUCUCUGUUGUUUGACUUAGAACAUGUUUAGUUACAAUAAUAAAGUUAUUGAAGACAA